rnacentral:snRNA from 1 species
GGGUGAUCUGGCUGUGACAUCUGUCACCCCAGUGAUCACCAGGAUUGAUUUGGCUGAUCUGGCUGGCUAGAUGGGUGUCCCUUUCCACCAUGUGCGUCCCUCCCAAAGCUGUGCACUCGGUCGAAGAGGAUGCCCUUCCCAGAAUAAAGACGGACUGGUUUUCGGUUGAGAGUAUAAGAGUAGCUGUACUCCCCUGCUAGAACGUCCAAACAAGCUCUCAAAGGGCCUGUGACUAUAUUAGUUUUAGUUUGUUUGUUUGUUUAUUUUCCCCUGAGCCUGAAGUCUGAUAUGCAGGUGGA